AGCAAGAGUUUUUAUCAAAUUACAAUGAUUUAAUACAAUUUUAUUCGUUUUUAUGAGUUUAAUCGUUUUCGUAAAAUAAGUCUUAGAGAUUACAAGAGAAUUAGAAGAACUUUUGAGCCAUCAGAUGAGAUUAUGCUGAAAUUUUAUGCCUUU